rnacentral:rRNA from 1 species
CCUACGGGGAGCAGCAGUCGAGAAUCAUUCACAAUGGGGGAAACCCUGAUGGUGCGACGCCGCGUGGGGGAAUGAAGGUCUUCGGAUUGUAAACCCCAGUCAUGUGGGAGCAAAUUAAAAAGAUAGUACCACAAGAGGAAGAGACGGCUAACUCUGUGCCAGCAGCCGCGGUAAUACAGAGGUCUCAAGCGUUGUUCGGAAUCACUGGGCGUAAGGCGUGCGUAGGCUGUUUCGUAAGUCGUGUGUGAAAGGCGCGGGCUCAACCCGCGGACGGCACAUGAUACUGCGAGACUAGAGUAAUGGAGGGGGAACCGGAAUUCUCGGUGUAGCAGUGAAAUGCGUAGAUAUCGAGAGGAACACUCGUGGCGAAGGCGGGUUCCUGGACAUUAACUGACGCUGAGGCACGAAGGCCAGGGGAGCGAAAGGGAUUAGAUACCCCAGUAGUC